AUGCGAAUAUUAAACAUAGAAAUUGAAAAGGUGAGAAUGGCUCUUAAUUGGCUAUUUUAUUCAAACCGUAGAACUAGACUUAGAUAGUAUUUUUAAAAAUGUGACGAAUAUGGUCUUAGAGAAAGAAAGGUUCUUAAACCUUUCCCGACUAGGUGGAAUUGCAUGUACGAAAGUUUAGUAGUUGCGUAUGAAUAUAAAAACCCAAUUAAUGCUACGUUUAAUUCUCGGGUAGGUGGUGAGGAUGAUGAUGAAAUACUAACUACCCAAUAUUAGACUAAUGUUAAAAUUCUUUUAGAUUUUUUAGAACAAUUUCAAGUUGCUAUAAAUGCAUUUUCUGGGCAACAUUAUCCUACUAUUUCAAACUGUUUAGUUUUUAUUACCGCACCAGCUGAUUGUUUUGUUGAAUUUAGCGAGUGUGGGGAUAUUUAUGAACUUGCUAUAAAUGAAAUGAAACAAAAGUUUAA
rnacentral:lncRNA from 1 species